rnacentral:rRNA from 1 species
GAUGAACGCUGGCGGCGUGCCUAAUACAUGCAAGUCGAGCGAACAGAUGAGGAGCUUGCUCCUCUGACGUUAGCGGCGGACGGGUGAGUAACACGUGGAUAACCUACCUAUAAGACUGGGAUAACUACGGGAAACCGGAGCUAAUACCGGAUAAUAUAUUGAACCGCAUGGUUCAAUAGUGAAAGACGGUUUUGCUGUCACUUAUAGAUGGAUCCGCGCCGCAUUCGCUAGUUGGUAAGGUAACGGCUUACCAAGGCAACGAUGCGUAGCCGACCUGAGAGGGUGAUCGGCCACACUGGAACUGAGACACGGUCCAGACUCCUACGGGAGGCAGCAGUAGGGAAUCUUCCGCAAUGGGCGAAAGCCUGACGGAGCAACGCCGCGUGAGUGAUGAAGGUCUUCGGAUCGUAAAACUCUGUUAUUAGGGAAGAACAAAUGUGUAAGUAACUAUGCACGUCUUGACGGUACCUAAUCAGAAAGCCACGGCUAACUACGUG